rnacentral:rRNA from 1 species
AAGUUUCCUUCGGGAAACGGAUUACGGCGGACGGGUGAGUAACACGUGGGCAACCUACCUCAUAGAGGGGAAUAGCCUUCCGAAAGGGAGAUUAAUACCGCAUAACAUUUUUGAUUGGCAUCAAUCGGAAAUCAAAGGAGCAAUCCGCUAUGAGAUGGGCCCGCGUCGCAUUAGUUAGUUGGUGGGGUAAAGGCCUACCAAGACGACGAUGCGUAGCCGACCUGAGAGGGUGAUCGGCCACAUUGGGACUGAGACACGGUCCAGACUCCUACGGGAGGCAGCAGUGGGGAAUAUUGCACAAUGGAGGAAACUCUGAUGCAGCAACGCCGCGUGAGCGAUGAAGGUCUUCGGAUCGUAAGGCUCUGUCUUUAGGGAUGAUAAUGACAGUACCUAAGGAGGAAGCCACGGCUAACUACGUGCCAGCAGCCGCGGUAAUACGUAGGUGGCGAGCGUUAUCCGGAAUUAUUGGGCGUAAAGGGAGCGUAGGCGGAUACUUAAGUGGGAUGUGAAAGACUUGGGCUCAACCCAAGGGCUGCAUUCCAAACUGAGUAUCUAGAGUGCAGGAGAGGAGAGUGGAAUUCCUAGUGUAGCGGUGAAAUGCGUAGAGAUUAGGAAGAACACCAGUGGCGAAGGCGACUCUCUGGACUGUAACUGACGCUGAGGCUCGAAAGCGUGGGGAGCAAACAGGAUUAGAUACCCUGGUAGUCCCGCCGUAAACGAUGAA